rnacentral:misc_RNA from 1 species
AUAAAAAGCAAUGCAGAUAGAUUUAAUUUUGGGUGAACUUCUAAAGCCCUGAUCCGAGGAAGUGGAUAAACUGCUUCUCCUCCUUGCUGAGAUAGAAUUCUCGGGAUGUCAAUGGAUUCAAUUGCAGCAGGCUCGAAAAAGUUUGUUUGCAUGGAUGGCUUGUUGGGAUUCAGUACCACCCUUGUUUUCCACACCUGAAUAUUUCCAUCCUUGGACAAAGUGACCAGCAAUCGUAGCAUUGGCAGCCAAGAAACUGAUGUGAUAGGUUGAGAACCUACUUGGGUAAUUCCAA